AAAGUUAAAGUAAUUUCAAAGUAAUUUUUGUUACAGAGAAUAAAUAUUAUAUAUUGAAUGCUGAGAAAAGUUAUCAUUAGGGAUAUUAAAUAUUAGAGAAAAUGGAAGUAACUACAGGGAUAUUGCUUUCUCUAGUGCUUAUUCAUUAUUGUGACAUGCAGCACAAGUAUUAUCUGUUAUCCAUAGUACUAUGUCAUUGAGAAAAUUAAUUCUUUUCAUAUGUCAAGAUAAUCCAUCAACAACAGACAACAAUGAAAAGUAUAGAACAACAGUAUCAGCAACAAGUUAUAGUGACAUAUCUUUAAUUAUUUGUCGUUGGUUGUGUGAAGAUUGAAAUUGUGGUUUAUUCUAUAAAGAUUUGGAAUUAAGAGAUGAUUACAAAAGAUUACAUAUCUUUGAAAAAUAAAGUAAAACAAGUAAAAUUGCCAUCUAGAAAUAUGGCAAAGAGCUGCUUUGGAGAUUUCUUCCUAAUCUGUUCAUAUAAGAAAUAAGCACAAUAUCAGAUUUGAAAAUACAAGCAAAGGAAACAAUAUUCCUUUGAGUUCACAUAAGUACUAUAUUAUAAUGAAUGAAAAUGAUAAUACAGUACGUAUUAUAAUAACUUGUUGCUGUUCUAUAUGAUUUGAUAAUUUUCAGUGUUCUCCUGUUGAUGUUAUAGGAAAACGUAGAGAAUGAAGAAAGUGAAUAAAGGUUAUUAUCUGUUAUACAUGUAUCUUUGAAAAAUAUCAAACAUUUAGUAAUGAAAAAAUAUAUUUUACAUCAGUAGAAGUGACAUCUUUGUAUGCAAAAUGAGAUAUAGGCAUUUAUUUAAUUUGUAUAAAAUAUAUUUUUUAUCAUCUUUUAUAUUAUUUUGAAACACCAUACUUUGUCAUACCAGGCAAAAAUUAUCAUAAAGAUAACAAAUUAUUAUUCAGUGUGUUGCUCAAUAAAUGUGGUGCAAAAAGUUUAAUGAUGAUAUGUGCUGCUACAAUAAAAGAACAUUUAAUUUUAAAUCUAUAUACUAUGGUACUAAAUGCAAAAAACAGUGGAUUCUAAUUGUAUAAAAUACCAUUUAGAGACUUACCUUUAAAGUAUUUUAAUACCUAAAUAAGAAUGGGAAAAAAAUAGAUUUUGAAAAUAUUUGACAUUUAAUUUUAAUUAUACUAAAAAAUGUACAAAACAUUAGUAGAUAUUUUUCAGACUAUACAUUAUAUGAUAAUGGAAGAAAAUGUCAUAUCAAAUCAUAAAAAAAUUAAGUAUAGAAUAUAAUCUAAAAUUGUUUUCAAAUUGUAAACUACAAGUUCAACUUUAAAUUAUAAAAAUCUUAGCUUUAGAUUUGAAGAAACCUGUGCUACUACCUGAUAAUACAUGUGAGUUAUAUUACAAGAUUGCACACAUUAACAUUUGUACGAUACUUUGAUUUAAGAUUUUA